rnacentral:rRNA from 1 species
UGUGAGCUCGAUGAGUAGGGCGGGACACGUGGUAUCCUGUCUGAAUAUGGGGGGACCAUCCUCCAAGGCUAAAUACUCCUGACUGACCGAUAGUGAACCAGUACCGUGAGGGAAAGGCGAAAAGAACCCCGGCGAGGGGAGUGAAAAAGAACCUGAAACCGUGUACGUACAAGCAGUGGGAGCCCCACCACUAAGCCAGUGGUGAACUCCACAUACGCAUCCUUUGCUGAGGAUACGGUUAACGGAGCGAAAGCGACGUUCAACCUCAAAAGAAGCAGAGGGGGCUUAGUGGUGGGGUGACUGCGUACCUUUUGUAUAAUGGGUCAGCGACUUAUAUUCUGUAGCAAGGUUAACCGUAUAGGGGAGCCGUAGGGAAACCGAGUCUUAAC